rnacentral:tRNA from 1 species
GCCCAGAUGGCGGAAUUGGUAGACGCGUUGGUCUCAAACACCAAUGCCGUGAGGCGUGCCGGUUCGAUCCCGGCUCUGGGUACCA